UACGGAGGAUGCAAGCGUUAUCCGGAUUCACUGGGUUUAAAGGGUGCGUAGGUGGGCUUGUAAGUCAGUGGUGAAAUCUCCGGGCUUAACCCGGAAACUGCCAUUGAUACUAUAGGUCUUGAAUUAUCUGGAGGUAAGCGGAAUAUGUCAUGUAGCGGUGAAAUGCUUAGAUAUGACAUAGAACACCAAUUGCGAAGGCAGCUUACUACGGAUCGAUUGACACUGAGGCACGAAAGCGUGGGGAUCAAACAGG
rnacentral:rRNA from 1 species